UACGGAGGGUGCAAGCGUUGUCCGGAAUUAUUGGGCGUAAAGAGCUCGUAGGCGGGUAGGCGCGUCGGCUGUGAAAACCCGGAGCUCAACUCCGGGCCUGCAGUCGAUACGGGCGGACUAGAGUUCGGCAGGGGAGGCUGGAAUUCCUGGUGUAGCGGUGAAAUGCGCAGAUAUCAGGAGGAACACCGGUGGCGAAGGCGGGUCUCUGGGCCGAUACUGACGCUGAGGAGCGAAAGCGUGGGGAGCGAACAGG
rnacentral:rRNA from 1 species